GGAAAAAGGAUGGAGAAGAAGUCAGUAGAGUUGAAAUGUUUAUAAAAACUCGCUAAGGUCGUCCUUGUAGGAAAGGAAAAGCAGUGGACAAAGAAACAUUGGAUACUAUUUCUAAGCUUGAAGGAUCUAUGCAAAACUCAUCAACUGAAAAUGUGGAAAAAACUUUUGAAUCAAUGUUUG